GGCUGGAUCAUCUUCUUUUAAUGCAAACCUAAAAGAUAUCAACUGGACAUUUUUCAUCAAAUGGAGCUUGCUGCUGCAGACAAUAAUCUUUCUGCACGACUGGGGACAGAGACUCCUGUGACUGAAAUGCCUCAUCACAUCAGUGUCCCACUGGCCACUAUGCCUGAAGUUGAGGAGUUUGAGGAGUGGCUUAACCCACAGGCUAAACAAAACAUGAUAUCUGUGCUGGGUGGCACUGGGGGACAAAACACCAAAAAAUUCACGUGGACCAUACUCUCAAGUGUUUUCUCCGAUGCAUUAGCCAAAAAGAUAAACUGGAAGGGUGGCAUAAUAC